UACCUCCAGAAGGUCGUCGACUGUGGAAUUGGUAAGAAAACUCGACAAAUACCACCAAGUGUGUAGAUUUAUGAAGUUUAAUAAGGUUGUUGUAAAGUGUAGCUUAAUAACAUACCGCCUUUCUGUUUUCUGCAUGAAUACGAUACAGUAGAGAAUAAACUCUGAAGAUGUUUUAUUCCUCGACUCACUUUUAAAACCUUGCAACUUGAAAUAUUUGUCUCGUUUAUGGAAAUAUAAAUUGUCUCUGGAUGGAUUUUAAGCUGAAUUUAACACAGUGACAUGUGGGUGUAGCUCGAACUUGUUCUCCCUCAAAAUGAUUAAUUUUGCAAUGUUGCUCAAACAGCAUCAUUAAAGUAAGACUAUUUUUUUUAAAUUGGAUUUGGUUGUUGGCUAUUUCUUUAGUUUACCAUAUCGUCCACAUUUAGUUAACUCGCCACACGAGACUGCAAAACCUUGGGCCCAUGAACACGUGGUUAGCCUAACGCGUUAGCCGUCGGUGUCGUGAACCAGGCUACCGACAAGACAACAAUAAAGCUGUAGUUGCUGUAGAUUCAUCGUAAGACAAGUCCGGUGUUUAUGAUCUGUCCUCUCCCCUGAUGACUUGCACUGGGCUCUGACUUUUUUUGUGUGGAGACAACGUGCACCUUUGGCCCUGACAAGCCAGAGUAUCUGAGGAGAAAACUAGUGCAGUGGUUUUACCAUGUGGUUGCCUUGACAACACAUUAACGUAACGUUUCGUCCUUUUCAGGUGACGCAGAAGAAGUGAAACAUCCGUGACUGAAUUGGUUAAACAGGUAUGUUUUGGACUUGUGCAUCCUUUAGAAUCAAAUUUAUAAUCUAACAGCAACUCAGACCUUUUCACCUUUUUUUUUUUUUUAAAGUGAACACCUUCUAAUAAAAAAAAAAAAAUAUUUAGGAGUUAAAUGUGUACCUAUAAUGCAUAACCAAAACAAGAGGUUUUAAACUCAAAGAUGUGGAUCUGGAGGUUAGGUCAUACUAGCACUUGAGACACUGACUUUUAAGCUUACAUUUGGGCAAACGUGGAAAUUUUGUAUGAAUCAGAUAUUUCAUGUUGCAGCAAUCCAGUGACGCACAUGGCCACAAUGACUACCAUCAAUCUCUUAAUGUGGUAGUGUACACAGCCUCCCGCACUCUCCCCUGAUGACUUGCACUGGGCUCUGACUGUGAGUGGAGAUAAACGUGCACCUUUGGCCCUGACAAGCCAGAGUUUCUGAGGAGAAGUUGAGCCGUUCGUUCGUUCGCUGUUGGUGCUGAUCUGACACCGACAUGAUGAAAGAUGCUGAUGAAACAUGAGACUUUAAAGACAUUAAAAUCUUUUUUGUGUUUUUUUUUUAAAGGUGUUUGGGGGAAGUGAAGCAACUCCUGGACUUGAAAAGGUAACGGUGCUUCGACAGACGAAAUCUACGUUAUAUCAUGCUAUGUUUCUGUGUUAUCUCUGAAUAAUCAAUAAAGUAAUUUAUUUCCUAUA